rnacentral:rRNA from 1 species
UACGUAGGUGGCAAGCGUUGUUCGGAUUUACUGGGCGUAAAGGGCGCGUAGGCGGCCACCGCAAGUCGACUGUGAAAUCUCCGGGCUUAACCCGGAAAGGUCAGCCGAUACUGCGGGGCUAGAGUGCAGAAGGGGCAACUGGAAUUCUCGGUGUAGCGGUGAAAUGCGUAGAUAUCGAGAGGAACACCUGCGGCGAAGGCGGGUUGCUGGGCUGACACUGACGCUGAUGCGCGAAAGCUAGGGGAGCGAACGGG